ensembl:miRNA Mir7237 microRNA 7237
AUGGUAGCUUGUGACAGGACUGGCCCUUGGGAGAGCAAAGCCAUCCUGUUGAGCUUACCGAGC